rnacentral:misc_RNA from 1 species
GAUGAAGAACGCAGCGAAAUGCGAUACGUAAUGUGAAUUGCAGAAUUCAGUGAAUCAUCGAGUCUUUGAACGCACAUUGCGCCCCCUGGUAUUCCGGGGGGCAUGCCUGUCCGAGCGUCAUUGCUGCCCAUCAAGCACGGCUUGCGUGUUGGGUCCCGUCCCCCUCUCCCGGGGGACGGACCCGAAAGGCAGCGGCGGCACCGCGUCCGGUCCUCGAGCGUAUGGGGCUUUGUCACCCGCUCUUGUAGGCCCGGCCGGCGCUUGCCGACACCCAACCAUUUUUUUCAGGUUGACCUCGGAUCAGGUAGGGAUACCCGCUGAACUUAAGCAUAUCAAUAAGCGGAGGA